rnacentral:rRNA from 1 species
GGAUAACUAUCCGAAAGGAUAGCUAAUACCGCAUAGGUCCUGAGGGAGAAAGCAGGGGAUCGCAAGACCUUGCGCGAAUGGAGCGGCCGAUGCCGGAUUAGCUAGUUGGUAGGGUAAAGGCCUACCAAGGCGACGAUCCGUAGCUGGUCUGAGAGGAUGAUCAGCCACACUGGAACUGAGACACGGUCCAGACUCCUACGGGAGGCAGCAGUGGGGAAUUUUGGACAAUGGGGGCAACCCUGAUCCAGCCAUUCCGCGUGAGUGAAGAAGGCCUUCGGGUUGUAAAGCUCUUUCGGCAGGAACGAAACGGUGGGGGCUAAUACCCCCUGCUAAUGACGGUACCUGAAGAAGAAGCACCGGCUAACUACGUGCCAGCAGCCGCGGUAAUACGUAGGGUGCGAGCGUUAAUCGGAAUUACUGGGCGUAAAGCGUGCGCAGGCGGUUCUAUAAGACAGAUGUGAAAUCCCCGGGCUUAACCUGGGAACUGCGUUUGUGACUGUAGGACUCGAGUGUGGCAGAGGGGGGUGGAAUUCCACGUGUAGCAGUGAAAUGCGUAGAGAUGUGGAGGAACACCGAUGGCGAAGGCAGCCCCCUGGGUCAACACUGACGCUCAUGCACGAAAGCGUGGGUAGCAAACAGGAUUAGAUACCCUGGUAGUCCACGCCCUAAACGAUGCGAACUAGGUGUUGGGGAAGGAGACUUUCUUAGUACCGCAGCUAACGCGUGAAGUUCGCCGCCUGGGGAGUACGGUCGCAAGAUUAAAACUCAAAGGAAUUGACGGGGACCCGCACAAGCGGUGGAUGAUGUGGAUUAAUUCGAUGCAACGCGAAAAACCUUACCUACCCUUGACAUGCCUGGAACUUGCCAGAGAUGGCUUGGUGCCCGAAAGGGAGCCUGGACACAGGUGCUGCAUGGCUGUCGUCAGCUCGUGUCGUGAGAUGUUGGGUUAAGUCCCGCAACGAGCGCAACCCUUGUCAUUAGUUGCCAUCAUUUAGUUGGGCACUCUAAUGAGACUGCCGGUGACAAACCGGAGGAAGGUGGGGAUGACGUCAAGUCCUCAUGGCCCUUAUGGGUAGGGCUUCACACGUCAUACAAUGGUCGGUACAGAGGGUUGCCAAGCCGCGAGGUGGAGCCAAUCCCAGAAAGCCGAUCGUAGUCCGGAUCGGAGUCUGCAACUCGACUCCGUGAAGUCGGAAUCGCUAGUAAUCGUGGAUCAGCAUGUCACGGUGAAUACGUUCCCGGGUCUUGUACACACCGCCCGUCACACCAUGGGAGUGGGUUUCACCAGAAGUAGGUAGCCUAACCGCAAGGGGGGCGCUUACCACGGUGGGAUUCAUGA